rnacentral:misc_RNA from 1 species
AAACGGAGAGAGGCCUAUCUGUCAGAGGAUGAUUUUCAGACUGUAUUUGGGAUGAGAAAAGAUGCAUUCUAUAAAUUGCCGAAAUGGAAGCAGGACGUGCAAAAGAAAAAAGUUGAUUUAUUUUAAUUAUCACAUCCAUCAAAAAGGAUUUCUCUGCUUUCUUAUGAACACUGCUUUAUUCGUUAUCAUCGUUGCUCCCUUGAAAAAUUGUGGUUUCCUCGGUCCACAUUGCCUGUCUUGCUGUGUCUAGCAUUUCAGUAUUUGCCUUUCGAUGAAUGUAGCUGUGAUUAGCAUCCUUAUUUGUUGUGAUUAUGCCUGAAGAGUGAGUUUUGCCCUUGUCUUCUUUUUGUUUUAAUCUUCUGCUGCCUGUUUGUAAUGAUACCCAGAUUGUAGUUUUUCCAGGCAGUUGGGAGGUCAUAUUCUUUCAUUUGGUCAGUAUUGUAUCUCAUUUUGUGAUUUAUUUUGACU